CUUCACUGCCACAUGUGCUCCUUUACGUGUCCAUUGGCUAAUGUGGAUUUUGGACGCUGCCCAUUGCCCUCUAGCUUGUAUGUAUAAGGAAUUCAAAUACCAAGAGUGGGUUGAGAAAAUAUCAGAUCCUGUCACUGAAGCAUGCAGCAAGAUUUUUGUACGAGAGAUGAUUCAAAGUAUCAACCAUUACAAUGUUAUAGAGGUUGUUGUAAUGAUGCCCAAACCUAAUCGUAACAUGACACAAAUAAGUUAUGGCUAUUAAUAUAACGAUAUUAUUUGACAAUUAUCUAGCUAUAUUGACUUGUAUAAUGAGAACAACAACCAAUAUUUGACCUCUUCAUCAUUCUCGCAAUUAAAACAAUAUUUUUUCUGAUUAAAAUCUCUAUCAGCCCAAAUUAAAAACACCUUUGAUCUUGUGAACAUUAGCAUAGCCGAGUGAUGACAUUAGUCUACCGUAACUGUUU
rnacentral:lncRNA from 1 species